GUCUAUGGUCAUACCACCCUGAACAUGCCCAAUCUUGUCUGGUGUCAGAAGCUAAGCAGGGUCGGCACUGGUUAGUACUUGGAUGGGAUAAAGUUUUUCAGAGGAGACUGCUCACAGGCAAGCAGUUUGAAGACA
rnacentral:rRNA from 1 species